CCUACGGGAGGCAGCAGUGAGGAAUAUUGGUCAAUGGACGAGAGUCUGAACCAGCCAAGUAGCGUGAAGGAUGACUGCCCUAUGGGUUGUAAACUUCUUUUAUAUGGGAAUAAAAUGUUCCACGUGUGGGAUUUUGUAUGUACCCUAUGAAUAAGGAUCGGCUAACUCCGUGCCAGCAGCCGCGGUAAUACGGAGGAUCCGAGCGUUAUCCGGAUUUAUUGGGUUUAAAGGGUGCGUAGGUGGAUUGUUAAGUCAGUUGUGAAAGUUUGCGGCUCAACCGUAGAAUUGCAGUUGAAACUGGCAGUCUUGAGUGCAGUAGAGGUAGGCGGAAUGCGUGGUGUAGCGGUGAAAUGCUUAGAUAUCACGAAGAACUCCGAUUGCGAAGGCAGUUCACUGGACUGCAACUGACACUGAGGCUCGAAAGUGUGGGUAUCAAACAGGAUUAGAUACCCCGGUAGUC
rnacentral:rRNA from 1 species